CUUCUCAGUUCCUAUUCUUUCUGGGUGAAAUUUUGGUCACUUUUGAAUGCUGGUGUUGAUUUCACUCUAGUGGUAGCAUGAGACAUACACUGUUAAAAAUUGCUGUAGUUUUUACAGUAAAUACUUACAAUAGACUACUUUUUUUUUUUUUUUUUAAUUUUACAACAUCACUGUAUUUUGCCAUGUGGGAGCAUGCAUAAUUGCUGUGAAUUUUAGAGGUCCAAUAAGAUACUGUGUGUGUGUGUGUGUGUGUGUGUUUAAAGGUAAAUCACUCUUAUUGAAUGUUCCUAUGACUUCUGCAGUAAAUGCUUUUUAAGAAGAAGAAAAAACAGUUGCAAAAGUUUUCGUCAUCUGCAGUGGACAUCUUGGAAGUUGCGACUUUCCAUUGCUUGGUUUUUAUGUUUAUUCAUGUUUGUAUAAAUUAUAAAAGCAAACAACUUGAUCCAUAUUCCAUUCCAGUUGGUGGCGAUAAUGCACCAAUAAGCGAGGUUGCCAACCACCAAUAAACACCAAAAAAGCACUUAAUAUUCGCUCACACCUCGUGCUCGGUACCGGAGGAGGAGGAGGAUCUCUAAUGAGAGGGAGUCGAGAGCCAUAUUCAGUCAGGUCUGGAGAUCUGGUGCCUAUUUGGUUGCAACAGGACAUUUAAGGUGAAUCCAUGACCCCAAGUGGAUGUUGUCACUGUUGGUUUGAGCACCUCCUCGUUAUAUAUUUAAGAAGCCUUGAGCGCAUCAAUCAACAAUGAGGCAAGCUGUUUUCGUCCUCACCACCACUGCCAUCAUCAUCGUCAUCAUCAACACUGGAGCAGUUUUGUCCAAACGGAACUAAACCUCUUCUUAUAAACUGGACAUGGCACCGGAUUCUGAUGACCAAUUUAUAGGCUGCGCUGAAGAAACCGACAAACUGAUAAUAGACAAGGUCCUUAAAGAAGAUUUAAUUAAAAAGCCAUAAUCAGUCAGGUCUGGAGAUCCGGUGCCCAUUUGGUUGCAACGGGACAUUUAAGGUGAAUCCAUGAAAUUGUCCUGGGCCCAUUUUCAGAGGCAUUUGUUGAGGGUCUGGCAGCAUUGUUUGCGCCCUAUUACAACUUAAAUCUUGCUUAUCAGGAUGACGCUGCAUGCACGCUGGAAUUUAUUCAGAGUGUAGUCUACAACCCAAACAAGUGGCUCAGGUAGUGCAGCUCAUCCAGGAUGGCACAACAAUGUGAGCUGUGGCAAGGUUUGUUGUGCCUUUCAGCGUAGUGUCCAGAGAAUGGAGGCGCUACCAGGAGACAGGCCAGUACAUCAGGAGAUGUGGAGGAGGCCGUAGGAGGGCAACAACCCAGCAGCAGGACCGCUACCUCCGCCUUUGUGCAAGGAGGAACAGGAGGAGCACUACCAGGAGACAGGCCAGUACAUCAGGAGAUGUGGAGGAGGCCGUAGGAGGGCAACAACCCAGCAGCAGGACCGUUACCUCCAGCAGGGAACAAAUGUGCAUGUAUCUGCUCAAACAAUCAGACACAGAGGACCUGGUGCUCUUCACAAAUGAAAGACGCUGGAGACGCUGUGGAGAACAUUCUGCUGCCUGCAAAAUCCUCGAGCAUGCUUCCAUCACAGUUUGUUUGGAUAUAAUUAUAUUAUUUGAUCUUCAAGCAUACUGUACAUUAAUUAUAAUAAAUAUAUAUAAGACUGUAUAUUUAUUUAUAAUAAUAAUAAUAAUAAUAAUGUAUUAUUAAUGAUAUUAUGAGAACAUUGUUCACUAUGCUACUGGAAUAAUUCAAGCUAGAAAAUGCGAUUUGGCAGGUUUGCUUCCGUAAAAUAUGACCUGCACAAACAAUUUGGCAAUAAAUCCUGUUUUAACACAUGCUUUGGGGCAAACAAAGCCAAACUUUCUGUGAUACAUAAUGAGGAAGAGGUGCUAGUCCCACCUUUUGAAAAAUUUACUAUCACAAACACUGCAAAAAAAAACAGAUGAACUGCAAAGUCAUUUACACUCCACAGAGUGUGGGAACUUUUAGCUAUAUGAAUUUCGAGCUGCUUAAAAAGCUCUACUGAACUGUUCAUGUUAUUAUAGCACAACCACUAACAUGAUUGGAUCAUUUAAGGCAAUGAUGCAAUGUGUUCUAAGCAUGUAUUGAUGUCAUGUAUAUACAUUAUUUGUUAUUGGAUUAUAAAAUUGCUUAAUAAUAAUGACAUUGUAGUGUUAACCAUUUUGUCUGAGCUUUUGUUUAAGUGGAAUUUAAUGUCUCGAUGCUUUUGAAAUUAAAAGACAUCUGGACCAUAUUGUGCUGUUCUCUACGAACAUUUUUGUAUCAUUUGUUGACAUGUUCUAGAGUGACCCCUUCUGUUCAAAUGGGGUAUUGCAUAUUAUUAAGUCUUUAUAUGAUGACGUCACAAACAUCUAGUUUUCAGUAGCAGCAGGGAAGAGUAUUCGGUCAUGGCUACUGUUCAUUGAUUUAAGUUAAUUUGAAGGCACUUUCGAUAUGCAGAUAUUGCUACAUCAUUGUUUUCAUGCAUAUUUACAGUAAAUUGUUAUAUUUUGUAUGACAGACGUUAAUUAUCUCUGUUUUCGUGAAUGGCACAAUCUAUUUCUGGAAAUAGUUGAUGCUAGCUACAAGGAAUAUGAAGAGCCUUUGUUGUGUUUAUGUGAACAUAUUAUUGAAUAUGUAUGCUUAGAGUUCUUUAUUUUGUACUUUUACUGUUUUACGUUACUCCAUGGACAGCAGUAAAGCUUGAAAACCAUUACCGAGUUUGUCGUCUUUGGGGGGCGUUAUCUGACUGCAUACUCAAGCAAGGCG